CAGCCUGGGCAACUCUGCAAGACCUUGUCCCAAAGAAGUACCAUGGUCACCUGUUGGAACUACAGGAUGAACCUGUGGAAGUCUCAUCACCACAAAAUAUCAGCAGCUACUGGCCCGAGGAGUUUAGUGCAAAGACAACACCUGGCAUACGACAAAGCUGGCCCCCUGCAACUGCCACUGUGGGCCACUGCUCAGAGUUAGACAUCAGCCUUCCUCUCACUCUGAUGAAGCCAGCCUGAAACCCUAAACCUCUUUCCCGUCUCAGCAGGCCAGAGGGGCAAGAAUGGGUGAAGAGCCCUGGCCUCCCCUCCGUCACGAGCUGCACACGUACCAGGACACUAUUAACUUGUGCUGGACAGCAAUCCUUCAGCUACCUACAGCUAAUCCCAGCCUGCGCUGAACUGGUCUGCGGUCUCCCAACACUCAGCUUGUGAGACAUGUCUUGCAAAGCUCUCCUCUUCGGCAAUCAUCAUAUCCAGGAGAUCCUACAGGACAGAAAACAGUCUAUAAUUUUGGGCCACAAAGGGAAAAACCACCAUUCUACUUCCUGUCUCUGAAUCUGACUACUCUAGGUACCAGGGCACUAUUGCAUGAAGUGUAAAUGGUUGGAAAGCUUGCUAUACAUUAGCUACAGAGUGGUAUGUGUAGCUUGAAUCAAAAUAUCAUCAUAAUAAUCCUAAGAAC